GCGCCAGUGGUGUAAUGGCAUAGAGCAUUCCCGCCCGUUCAACAGGAGAUGCGGGUUCGAGUCCUGCUUGACGCA
rnacentral:tRNA from 1 species